GGUAGCCGUACGAGCGCACCCCUAUCCUUAUUUGCCAGCGCGUAAUGGCGGGAACUACUAGUGAGACUGCCGGUCAUAAACCGGAGGAAGGCGGGGACGACGUCAAGUCAUCAUGGCCCUUAUGGGUAGGGCUACACACGUGAUACAAUGGGCGGUACAGAGGGUCGCCAAAUCGCGAGCUGGAGCCAAACCCUUAAAACCAUUCUUAGUCCGGAUUGGAGUCUGCAACUCGACUCCAUGAAGUCGGAAUCGCUAGUAAUCGCGAAUCAGAAUGUCUCGGUGAAUACGUUCUCGGGCCUUGUACACACCGCCCGUCACGUCAUGGAAGUGGGUUGCACCAUAAGUGGCUUGUUUAACCUUCGGGAAAACGGUCACCACGGAGUGAUUCGCAACUGGCACGAAGUCGUAACAAGGUAGCCCUAUGGGAACCUGGGGCUGGAUCACCUCCUU
rnacentral:rRNA from 1 species